rnacentral:rRNA from 1 species
AUUUUAGAGGAAGGAGAAGUCGUAACAAGGUUUCUGUAGGUGAACCUGCUGAAGGAUCAUUUGCACACGUGUAUACACUAACCUGCUAAUGAUAUUGUGGGCGGUGUAAGCUUGCAUUACAAUAAUAUUCCAUGUGUCCUGGGCUGUGUGACUUGUUUUGCAAUCAUGCGUUAUGCAUUGCAUAAACAAGUUUGGUAAACUGAGUGGUGCUGUGUUUGUGUACGCUGAUUAUGUUUUGCAAAGAAUGUUUUAGUUCAAUAAAUGAUGAAGAAUGCAGCAAAAUGCAUUAUGCAUUGUGAAUUGCAGAAUUCCGUGAGCUAACAGAUGUUUGAAUGUUACUUGUGCCUUUGGGAUAUUCUUGAAGGUUUGCUUGAUUCAAUGCCAAUUACCUUCCAUAUGCAAUACUGCUGUUUAGCAUUGCUGUGAACAAGGAGAGUCAAUGUGUAUUGCAUUGAACAUGGAUGUGUUGCAGCUGCUUUUGCAACCUAAGCAUGGUUGAUUGGGGGCAAACUUGUUUCGUCAUGUGCUGGUUGCUGUUUUGCAAAAUGUGCACAACUGAGACAAGCUGAAGACUUGCAUAUGCUUAGCAUGAAGUGAAGCACAUACACCUGCUGAGUUUAAGCAUAUAAGUAAGUGGUGGAAAUUAAACCAAU